UACGUAGGGUGCAAGCGUUGUCCGGAAUUAUUGGGCGUAAAGAGCGUGUAGGCGGCCCGAUUAGUCCGCUGUGAAAGUCCAGGGCUCAACCCUGGAAUGCCGGUGGAUACUGUCGGGCUAGAGUCCGGAAGGGGCGAGUGGAAUUCCUGGUGUAGCGGUGAAAUGCGCAGAUAUCAGGAAGAACACCCGUGGCGAGGGCGGCUCUCUGGGACGGUACUGACGCUGAGACGCGAAAGCGUGGGGAGCGAACAGG
rnacentral:rRNA from 1 species